AUCCAGACUCCUACGGGAGGCAGCAGUGGGGGAUAUUGCACAAUGGGGGGAACCCUGAUGCAGCGACGCCGCGUGGGUGAAGGAGCGUCUCGGCGCGUAAAGCCCUAUCGGCAGGGAAGAAGGAGGACGGUACCUGGCUAAGAAGCCCCGGCUAACUACGUGCCAGCAGCCGCGGGAAUACGUAGGGGGCAAGCGUUAUCCGGAUUUACUGGGUGUAAAGGGGGCGCAGACGGCAGCGCAAGCCAGGAGUGAAAGGCCGGGGCCCAACCCCGGGACUGCUCUUGGAACUGCGCGGCUGGAGUGCAGGAGGGGCAGGCGGAAUUCCUGGUGUAGCGGUGAAAUGCGUAGGUAUCAGGAGGAACACCGGUGGCGAAGGCGGCGUACUGGACCGUAACUGACGUUGAGGCUCGAAAGCGUGGGGAGCAAACAGGAUUAGAUACCCCCGUAAAC
rnacentral:rRNA from 1 species